ensembl:antisense
CCACCACACAGGGCAGAGCAGCCUUCCGUGUGCAUGUAUCGUGGAGAAAUGAGCAGGGGAGACUUCAACAUCAGAGCCCCUCAAGUUCCAGCAAACCCGCAGUUCUUCUCCUUGAGCCAGAGAUGUGCCAGACCCAGAGCACCACCUGCACCUGUGAGAUGUUACAGAAGGAAAUAGAUGAACUCAAGGAACAACUCGCAAUCAUGCAAGUCUUCAAAGAAAAGUUCCAGGAUCCUUGAAGUUGGACUCAAGAGUUUCUCCCCACAGAAGAGGCCAAACUACCACCUGUGGAUCCUGCUUCCUUCCAGUUUUCUUCGACAGCAGUGGUUCCCACCUUCCUAAUGCUAUGGCCUGCUCAUGGGCUUCAUUUUGUGAUGUUAACCCUCUACCAUAAAGCUAUUUCAUUGUUACUUCAC